rnacentral:pre_miRNA from 1 species
AGUAGAAUUGCUGGGUCAUAUAGUGGUUCUAUUAUUAGUCUUUUGAGAAAUCUCCAUACUGCUUUCCAGAAUGGUUGUACUAAUUUGCAGUCCACAAAACAAU